GACGAACGCUGGCGGCGUGCCUAAUACAUGCAAGUCGAACGCACUGACAGAGAAACUUGUUUCUCUUGACGUGAGUGGCGCACGGGUGAGUAACACGUGGGAAACCUACCCUUCAGCGGGGGAUAACCGUCGGAAACGAUGGCUAAUACCGCAUAGGUCUUUUAACCGCCUGGUUGAAAGAGGAAAGACGGCUUCGGCUGUCACUGAAGGAUGGUCCCGCGGUGCAUUAGCUAGUUGGUAAGGUAACGGCUUACCAAGGCGAUGAUGCAUAGCCGACCUGAGAGGGUGAUCGGCCACAUUGGGACUGAGACACGGCCCAAACUCCUACGGGAGGCAGCAGUAGGGAAUCUUCCGCAAUGGACGAAAGUCUGACGGAGCAACGCCGCGUGUGUGAAGAAGGUCUUCGGAUCGUAAAGCACUGUUAUUAGAGAAAAACAACCGGUAGAGUAACUGUUACCGGCUUGACGGUAUCUAACCAGAAAGCCACGGCUAACUACGUGCCAGCAGCCGCGGUAAUACGUAGGUGGCAAGCGUUGUCCGGAUUUAUUGGGCGUAAAGGGAGCGCAGGCGGUGACUUAAGUCUGAUGUGAAAGCCCACGGCUCAACCGUGGAAGGUCAUUGGAAACUGGGUCACUUGAGUGCAGAAGAGGAAAGUGGAAUUCCAUGUGUAGCGGUGAAAUGCGUAGAUAUAUGGAGGAACACCAGUGGCGAAGGCGACUUUCUGGUCUGUAACUGACGCUGAGGCUCGAAAGCGUGGGGAGCAAACAGGAUUAGAUACCCUGGUAGUCCACGCCGUAAACGAUGAGUGCUAAGUGUUGGAGGGUUUCCACCCUUCAGUGCUGGAGUUAACGCAAUAAGCACUCCGCCUGGGG
rnacentral:rRNA from 1 species